UCUCUCCUCAAUACUGGCCUACAUGAGCAAGAGGAUGGGUGGUGCCCACAUCUCACUUUCCAUGUGACAUUCUCACUGUCAUUUCCAGAGGAAAGAACAGACUGGGGCUUCCUCUCUCUAUUCUGAUCCUUUGGGAGGGGGAUUUUUAAAUUUUUUUUCCUGAAGCAUGUUUUUCUCUUGCCAAAAGUUAACUUUUCAUGUCUGGGUGGUCAGAAGGUAUCUUAAUUCCCCAUCCAGCACCACUUCCUUGGCAUUGUGCAAUGACCUCUCUGAGAAAUGUCAGUUCCAGGAUGUCCCAGGAGCUGACCUGACAAUGGAUAGGAGGGAAGGCAUCAGGACCCAUCAUUUUCUGUCUUUGGUGACAACAUAAAUGUUUGAUAGAAAUGCUGGGAUAAUUUGGGAUAAUUCCUCCUCACUGAUUUCUCUUUGCUAGCGUGUCUGCUGCUCACAUUUAAUUCUCAUGACCUAUAAAAUCAACACUGGAUUGUUUUGUUUCCUGUAGUAUCUAUUAACACUCUGGCUAUCAUUAGGUCAAAUUUAAUGGGCUGUGCAGGGCCUGAUUGUGCCUGGUUUUGAGGGAAAACCUGGAAACUGCCACAGAUUUAGGCAGGUUCUUGCUUUAUGAAUCCAGGUUUGUUCUUCACUGGUGAAACUACCAGUACUUUGGGAGUUCUGUAAGCACAGAGGUUUUCUUUUUUUCUCUUAUUUCUUUCCUGUCUGAAAUAGCAGUAUUUUUCUCCUUAUAUCUGAUUUAUUUAUUUAUUUAUUUAUUUAUUAAACUUUUACGUAAUUGCUUUCUGGUUUAAUCAACUUCUCCCUACAUUUGUAUUCCAUACCUUCAAAUGAAGCAUGGUCUGCCAUCCCAAAGCCCAGUUCUGGAAACAUCUGAUUAUUUAUUUUUCUUAGGAGAUUGAUAUAGAAUUGAGUUGUUUUAAGCAGCUGGUGAUUUUAAUGAAUAACAUCCAGCUCUGGACAAAUAUUAAUAUUGUAGGUGCUUCAAAUUUAGAGCGGAUAUAUUUUCCAUUUAAGUUCAUUUUGGGGCAUAAUAACACUUGUUUCUAGGAUAUAAUACUUGUUUUUAGGAUAUUCCUCAAAACACCCAUAAAACUGUCCUGAUGUUUUGUGUUAGGUCAGAAAAAAAAUGAGUUACAAAGAGAAUAAACACCCAACCCACUGAAUUUGGUUGAAUUUG
rnacentral:lncRNA from 1 species